rnacentral:rRNA from 1 species
GACAGAGGGUGCAAACGUUGUUCGGAAUCACUGGGCUUAAAGGGCGCGUAGGCGGGCUGACAAGUCUGGGGUGAAAUGCCGCGGCUCAACCGUGGAACUGCCUUAGAUACUGUCGGCCUCGAGGAAGGUAGGGGCAUGCGGAACUGUAGGUGGAGCGGUGAAAUGCGUUGAUAUCUACAGGAACUCCGGUGGCGAAAGCGGCGUGCUGGACCUUUUCUGACGCUGAGGCGCGAAAGCUAGGGGAGCAAACGGG